GAUGAACGCUAGCGGCAGGCUUAAUACAUGCAAGUCGUGGGGCAGCAUGAGUAGCAAUACUUGAUGGCGACCGGCAAACGGGUGCGGAACACGUACACAACCUUCCGAUAAGUGGGGAAUAGCCCAGAGAAAUUUGGAUUAAUACCCCGUAACAUAUAGAGUAGGCAUCUUCUUUAUAUUAUAGCUUCGGCGCUUAUUGAUGGGUGUGCGUCUGAUUAGGUAGUUGGCGGGGUAACGGCCCACCAAGCCUACGAUCAGUAGCUGAUGUGAGAGCAUGAUCCGCCAAACGGGACCUGAGGCACGGGCCCGACUCCUACGGGAGGCAGCAGUAAGGAAUAUUGGACAAUGGGCGAAAGCCUGAUCCAGCCAUGCCGCGUGAAGGAUUAAGGUCCUCUGGAUUGUAAACUUCUUUUAUUUGGGACGAAAAAAGGGAAUUCUUUCCCACUUGACGGUACCAAGUGAAUAAGCACCGGCUAACUCCGUGCCAGCAGCCGCCGCGG
rnacentral:rRNA from 1 species